rnacentral:rRNA from 1 species
CCCUUAGAUGUUCUGGGCCGCACGCGCGCUACACUGAUGCAUUCAACGAGUUUCUUCCUGGUCCGAGAGGAAUGGGUAACCUUUUGAAAGUGCAUCGUGAUAGGGAUAGACUAUUGCAAUUAUUGGUCUUCAACGAGGAAUUCCUAGUAGACGUAGUUCAUCAGACUGCAUCGAUUACGUCCCUGCCCUUUGUACACACCGCCCGUCGCUCCUACCGAUUGAAUGGCUUAGUGAGCCUUUGGGAUUGGCAGCUUGUACCGGCAACGGUAGCAGGCCGCUGAAAACUUAGGCAAACUUGGUCAUUUAGAGGAAGUAAAAGUCGUAACA